GUCGUCACCGGCACCGAGCAGCGUGAAGAUGAUUCCAGUCUGAGAGUUCACACCUACAGCGGUCACCACCAUCUUGCCGGAGCCUUCCAUCACAUGGUGAAGAAAGAAUUUAGGUCUGUUGGUGUGAACAGAGAGAUGUACGAUUUAAUAGUGGAAAAUCAGCAGCACAAACUGGAUGGUAACCGCUGACAGUGACAGCUUGGGUCAGACUGAACUUGGCUGUAAUUUGAGAUCGUUACCCUGAAUCAGGACGCCAUCAGCCGGGAGGAGGUCACCUGGUGCAAAUCAACACACACAGUCCCACUGAUCUGCUGACAGUGAUCCAGUAAUCCAGCAAAACAAGGGAAUCAUUGCUAUUCAGUUUUUCAUGAGUAG